AAAAACAAUAAACCUGAACAGACGACAGGCCCAUGUGACUGCCGGCACAGGAGGAGAAGAUUUGUGCUGUGAGUCUGAUAAACAUGUCUGGAGUUUGACUGAGUGUGGAAUGUUGAUUUGCUCUUCAGUCUUGACACAGAGCUCAGAAUCAGUUGAAUUAUAUUCAGCUGGAUAAAAGGUUAAUUGACUCUGUGCUAAGCCCCGCCUUAAACACUACUGACCUAUUCUACCUUAGCAACUGUUGCCAUUUGCCAUAAGACAAGCAUUUGCUCUACUUUAAGUUUAUUGAAGUGUGUUUGGAUAGUUUUAAAUGCAGUUUUAAGGAAAUAAAAAAUUUAAUAUAGAAUGUCCAUAUAUUAUAUUAUAUUAUAUUAUAGUAAAACAUUAGUCAUUUAGCCUUGACUUUGCCUAGAUUUCAUAACAUUAUUACAUAAUUAAAUAGAUCCUUAUGGGUUUAGUUCACCCAAAAAUGAAAAUUCUGUCAUUAAUUACUCACCAUCAUGUCAUUCCAAACUCAAAUUUCCAAAGCAAUAGUGUCUCUUCAGAAAAUUUGGACUAAAUGGCUCAAUUCAUAUGGAUUAGUUUUAUGAUCUCUUUAUAAAUUUUUUGAAGCGUCAAAGUGGUAGUUGCGUAGCUGUUUAUGGAGGGACAGAAAGCUCUCAGAUUUCAUCAUAAAGAUCUUCAAAGAUCUAACGAACGUCUUAUGGGUUUGGAACAACAUGAAGAAUAUUUUUUUUGUAUUUAACUGCAAGUCAUAAUUUUUAUGUAAAUCUCCAAUCACUUCCUAUGGUAGGUUCUGUAAGGCUUGUCUGAGUGGGCAACGGGUAACAAAGGGGGCGGAGCUUAGCGAAAUUAUCAAUUGACCUUUUUCAUCUGUGCGUUACACCUGAAUGUGCUUUCUCAUUCAUUAAGAGUUCAUCAGAACGUUCUCUGAAUUGUACCUGCUGAGUCCAGUGCAAUAUAUUGUUUUUCUUAUAUAUAUAUAUAUGAAAAAAAUGCUUCUAAAUAAGAGCCCUCCUCAUUGUUGACAUGUAAAUCACUCACUGCUUAUUGUAAAGGCUUAUUUUGUUGUGUUGUAAUUUUUUGUUUUCAUGUUGUACUAUACUCAGGCAUCAUCUAUCUAUGAACAUGUUAUUUUAUAAAAGACAAGUAUUUAAUGUUUACGAACAGGAAUCUGGCUUCGGUUCUGUUAGAUUUUUUUAUUUUUAUUAUUAUUAUUAUUAUUAGCAACGCACAUUUGCAGAGUCAUGUUUCACAAUGACAGGUUUCAUAUGGUGCAGAACGUACUCCCAACCCCCCACCC